rnacentral:rRNA from 1 species
CAAUAGCGUAUAUUUAAGUUGUUGCAGUUAAAAAGCUCGUAGUUGGAUUUCGGAUGGGACUUGCCAGUCCGUCGUUUCGAUGUGCACUGGCCAGUCCUAUCUUGUUGUCGGGGACCAGCUCCUGGGCUUCACUGUCCGGGACUGGGAGCCGACGAAGUUACUUUGAGUAAAUUAGAGUGUUCAAAGCAAGCCUACGCUCUGAAUAUAUUAGCAUGGAAUAACACGAUAGGACUCUGGCUUAUCUUGUUGGUCUGUGAGACCAGAGUAAUGAUUAAGAGGGACAGUCGGGGACAUUCGUAUUUCAUUGUCAGAGGUGAAAUUCUUGGAUUUAUGAAAGACGAACUUCUGCGAAANCANNNGUCAAGGAUGUUUUCAUNAA